UCUCGCGAAGUCGAGUCGGUCCUCGUCCCUCGGCACGCCCGGCCCCUCCGCACACAACCGAGAACGGCCCUCUGGUUAGGGUGGGACAGCACGGAGGAGGCCCUGAGCCCCGCUCGGCCCUGCCCGCAAAGGCGCCUUGCACGUGGGCCUCCGGGUAGAGGGCACUGAUCGGAGGGCAGAAGCGCGUUGAAGGCAGGUUUUAGGCCUCGGCGGCGGCGUGCGAAUAAAGAAACGCCAGGACCCCAGUCGAGGACGUGGGCGGAUGGAGAACGAGCCCGUUUAUCCAUGAAACUGUGCCACGGGCUUGCUGAGCCUGUACAUUUCUAAAUUGGUGGCUGCUCAGAGAACCCAAGGUGGAGUCUUGGAUAAAGGCUGCUGUGGAGGCUGGGCCCUGGCACCUGCUCUGGAGUCUAGCUUCCUUCUGACACAUAAAGGAUGGAUGCGGCACCUUGGAAACAGGCCCAGGAGCUGAAGUCCCAGGACAAGCCAGUACCUGGCCACCUGUGGACCACUUGUCUCUGCCCACAGCCAAAGACCACCAGGAACAAAGUUGGAUUUACUGAUUUGUUGCAAUGAGGGAGACUGCAUACGUGUCUAGAUGAGGCGUCGAGGGGCAUCUCAGUCUGAAGGUGUCACAAGGGAGUUAGAAUAGAACUUGUGUUAAGGACUGUGGGGGCAGCUCCAAGAAAGCAGGAUCUAUUCUAUGAUUGGGUAUCUUGAUUUUUAUAUAGAAGCUGAGACAAAAACAGCGGAGCUAAAGCUGUGGUUGGUAAAGAGACAGCCAUCACUUGCGUUAGCUGGGAGUGGGGGACGUUGGGUGGGUUUGGGGGUUUACACAGGGGCCUUGAUUUUGUCUGCCCUCAGACAUGACUGUGGAAGACCUUGCCUGAUGUGAUCCGUGAGAUCGGCUCUAUUCAGCAGCAGAACGUCGCAGUCUAGCUGUGAGCCCCAGGCUGGUCGGAGCCUGCUGCCAGGAACUACUUUCCUCUUUCUCACUGCAAAGGCAAAGCCUUGACCUUCAAGUUGCAGCCUUCUCUCUAUCCUAUCUUAUAUCUUCAUGGUGGGAUAAGGGUCAUUUCCCUGGAAGAGGAAGAAAGGAUAGAUGAGAAUAAGGAGGGGGAUUUGGGAUGGGGGGGAUAGCAGCUUAGCUUAGAGUAUUCAUAUCUCUGUCACCUGAACGGAUCCAGGGUGCCCUUUCUCUCU